GUGACUGCGUACCUUUUGUAUAAUGGGUCAGCGACUUAUAUUCUGUAGCAAGGUUAACCGAAUAGGGGAGCCGGAGGGAAACCGAGUCUUAAUUGGGCGUUAAGUUGCAGGGUAUAGACCCGAAACCCGGUGAUCUAGCCAUGGGCAGGUUGAAGGUUGGGUAACACUAACUGGAGGACCGAACCGACUAAUGUUGAAAAAUUAGCGGAUGACCUGUGGCUGGGGGUGAAAGGCCAAUCAAACCGGGAGAUAGCUGGUUCUCCCCGAAAGCUAUUUAGGUAGCGCCUCGUGAAUUCAUCUCCGGGGGUAGAGCACUGUUUCGGCUAGGGGGCCAUCCCGGCUUACCAACCCGAUGCAAACUGCGAAUACCGGAGAAUGUUAUCACGGGAGACACACGGCGGGUGCUAACGUCCGUCGUGAAGAGGGAAACAACCCAGACCGCCAGCUAAGGUCCCAAAGUCAUGGUUAAGUGGGAAACGAUGUGGGAAGGCCCAGACAGCCAGGAUGUUGGCUUAGAAGCAGCCAUCAUUUAAAGAAAGCGUAAUAGCUCACUGGUCGAGUCGGCCUGCGCGGAAGAUGUAACGGGGCUAAACCAUGCACCGAAGCUGCGGCAGCGACGCUGAUGCGUUGUUGGGUAGGGGAGCGUUCUGUAAGCCUGCGAAGGUGGCCUGUGAGGGUUGCUGGAGGUAUCAGAAGUGCGAAUGCUGACAUAAGUAACGAUAAAGCGGGUGAAAAGCCCGCUCGCCGGAAGACCAAGGGUUCCUGUCCAACGUUAAUCGGGGCAGGGUGAGUCGACCCCUAAGGCGAGGCCGAAAGGCGUAGUCGAUGGGAAACGGGUUAAUAUUCCCGUACUUGGUGUUACUGCGAAGGGGGGACGGAGAAGGCUAUGUUGGCCGGGCGACGGUUGUCCCGGUUUAAGCGUGUAGGUGUGUGUUCCAGGUAAAUCCGGUUCACUUUAACACUGAGGCGUGAUGACGAGGCACUACGGUGCUGAAGCAACAAAUGCCCUGCUUCCAGGAAAAGCCUCUAAGCAUCAGGUAACAUCAAAUCGUACCCCAAACCGACACAGGUGGUCAGGUAGAGAAUACCAAGGCGCUUGAGAGAACUCGGGUGAAGGAACUAGGCAAAAUGGUGCCGUAACUUCGGGAGAAGGCACGCUGACACGUAGGUGAAGUGAUUUACUCAUGGAGCUGAAGUCAGUCGAAGAUACCAGCUGGCUGCAACUGUUUAUUAAAAACACAGCACUGUGCAAACACGAAAGUGGACGUAUACGGUGUGACGCCUGCCCGGUGCCGGAAGGUUAAUUGAUGGGGUCAGCGCAAGCGAAGCUCCUGAUCGAAGCCCCGGUAAACGGCGGCCGUAACUAUAACGGUCCUAAGGUAGCGAAAUUCCUUGUCGGGUAAGUUCCGACCUGCACGAAUGGCGUAAUGAUGGCCAGGCUGUCUCCACCCGAGACUCAGUGAAAUUGAACUCGCUGUGAAGAUGCAGUGUACCCGCGGCAAGACGGAAAGACCCCGUGAACCUUUACUAUAGCUUGACACUGAACAUUGAGCCUUGAUGUGUAGGAUAGGUGGGAGGCUUUGAAGUGUGGACGCCAGUCUGCAUGGAGCCGACCUUGAAAUACCACCCUUUAAUGUUUGAUGUUCUAACGUGGACCCGUGAUCCGGGUUGCGGACAGUGUCUGGUGGGUAGUUUGACUGGGGCGGUCUCCUCCUAAAGAGUAACGGAGGAGCACGAAGGUUGGCUAAUCCUGGUCGGACAUCAGGAGGUUAGUGCAAUGGCAUAAGCCAGCUUGACUGCGAGCGUGACGGCGCGAGCAGGUGCGAAAGCAGGUCAUAGUGAUCCGGUGGUUCUGAAUGGAAGGGCCAUCGCUCAACGGAUAAAAGGUACUCCGGGGAUAACAGGCUGAUACCGCCCAAGAGUUCAUAUCGACGGCGGUGUUUGGCACCUCGAUGUCGGCUCAUCACAUCCUGGGGCUGAAGUAGGUCCCAAGGGUAUGGCUGUUCGCCAUUUAAAGUGGUACGCGAGCUGGGUUUAGAACGUCGUGAGACAGUUCGGUCCCUAUCUGCCGUGGGCGCUGGAGAACUGAGGGGGGCUGCUCCUAGUACGAGAGGACCGGAGUGGACGCAUCACUGGUGUUCGGGUUGUCAUGCCAAUGGCACUGCCCGGUAGCUAAAUGCGGAAGAGAUAAGUGCUGAAAGCAUCUAAGCACGAAACUUGCCCCGAGAUGAGUUCUCCCUGAGACUUUAGGUCUCCUGAAGGAACGUUGAAGACGAC
rnacentral:rRNA from 1 species